GCUAAAGACCCGGAUAGCUGGGUUCUCUCGCAUGAGAGGAUCAUGAAACACGGUUCCGAUUCAAUUUGGGCUGUGGCUUAUAGAUGGGCCUGCGGCGCAUUAGCUAGUUGGUAGGGUAACGGCCUACCAAGGCGACGAUGCGUAGCCGACCUGAGAGGGUGACCGGCCACACUGGGACUGAGACACGGCCCAGACUCCUACGGGAGGCAGCAGUAGGGAAUCUUCCGCAAUGGACGCAAGUCUGACGGAGCAACGCCGCGUGAGUGAUGAAGGUUUUCGGAUCGUAAAGCUCUGUUGCCCUAGACGAAUAGCAAGGAGAGUAACUGCUCCUUGUGUGACGGUAUAGGAGAAGAAAGCCCCGGCUAACUACGUGC
rnacentral:rRNA from 1 species